GCUGGGCAUGGUGGCUCAUCCCUGUAAUCCCAGCUACUCGGGAGGCUGAGGCAGGAGAAUUGCUUGAACCCGGGAGGCAGAGGUUGCAGUGAGCUGAGAUCGCACCACUGCACUCCAGCCUGGGUGACAGCAAGACUCUGUCUCAAAAAAAAAAAAAAAAAAGGAAGCAGUGAGCGUGAACACCCUUGUUUCAUUCCGUUCUUUUUUUUUUUUUUUUUUUUGAAAUGGAGUCUUGCUCUGUCCCCCGGGCUGGAGCGCAGUGGAGCGAUCUCGGCUCACUGCAAGCUCUACCUCCCAGGUUCACGCCAUUCUCCUGCCUCAG
rnacentral:SRP_RNA from 1 species